UGGCGGCGUGCUUAACACAUGCAAGUCGAGCGAUGAAGCUUCUCGGAAGUGGAUUAGCGGCGGACGGGUGAGUAACACGUGGGUAACCUGCCUCAUAGAGGGGAAUAGCCUUUCGAAAGGAAGAUUAAUACCGCAUAAGAUUGUAGUACCGCAUGGUACAGCAAUUAAAGGAGUAAUCCGCUAUGAGAUGGACCCGCGUCGCAUUAGCUAGUUGGUGAGGUAACGGCUCACCAAGGCGACGAUGCGUAGCCGACCUGAGAGGGUGAUCGGCCACAUUGGGACUGAGACACGGCCCAGACUCCUACGGGAGGCAGCAGUGGGGAAUAUUGCACAAUGGGGGAAACCCUGAUUGCAGCAACGCCGCGUGAGUGAUGACGGUCUUCGGAUUGUAAAGCUCUGUCUUUAGGGACGAUAAUGACGGUACCUAAGGAGGAAGCCACGGCUAACUACGUGCCAGCCGCUGC
rnacentral:rRNA from 1 species